GCAAAUUAAAGGCCCCCCUUCUCUCUCUCUCAAAAUCUUUCAAAAUCUCUCUAGUCCUGCUCAAAGGAAGGAUCAUGAGUAUUGUACAUAUUUUCUUAUCAUGCAUUUGUAGCAGUUGAAGCUGCCAGCAUGAUCUUAACCUCCCUAUUUUGGUUAGGGAAGAUCAGAUCAUGUGGCAGUUUCACCUGUUAUUGGUAGCAUGAGAUCAAACCCUAAUUCCCACAUAAACCUUUGCAAUCCCUAGAUAAAAGCUGCUCGGAAAUGUCAGCUGUUUGGGGUUGUUAGGGUUUUGAAUGACAGAAACUGUGUGUUUCCACGCAGUUCGAUGAUUUCAAGAUCCUCAUCUGGCACUUCGGGCAUUGAGCCACGGCUACCGAGCAAACCUGCCGUACUCUUUUUGAUUAUUAGUCAUACGGCCUGCAUCAAGAUUUCAUAUUUGGGGGAUAAUGAGACAAGUUAUUUGUAUUCUGACAAUAAUAUUGGACCAGAUAAGUACAGUACAGGCAGUCAUUUAAAUGCUCACCUUCUCAAAUUGAGAAUAGAAUAUGAAGCCAUAUGGCUUGAAGUACCACCUUCAGGCUUCAAAAGGACAAAUAUAUAAUAUAUAUAUAUAUUUUGAUCACUUCAUAUCAUAUGCAGACCAGACACAGAUCAAUUCUGGCAAAUUUGGAUUCUCAGUAGAAAUAAUCUGUGAGAUUGGCUGUGUCUGUUUCCUAAGUGUGCAAUGUGAUAGCAAUUGAUGAUGUAAUUUCUCAACUGUGAUCCCCAUGUGAAACCC